rnacentral:rRNA from 1 species
UACGAAGGGGGCUAGCGUUGUUCGGAAUCACUGGGCGUAAAGCGCACGCAGGCGGGUCGUUAAGUCAGGGGUGAAAUCCCGAGGCUCAACCUCGGAACUGCCUUUGAUACUGGCGAUCUUUGAGUCCGGGAGAGGUGAGUGGAACUCCGAGUGUAGAGGUGAAAUUCGUAGAUAUUCGGAAGAACACCAGUGGCGAAGGCGGCUCCACUGGCCCGGUACUGACGCUCAUGUGCGGAAAGCUGGGG